AUUGAACGCUGGCGGCAUGCCUAACACAUGCAAGUCGAACGGCAGCACAGUGGAGCUUGCUCCAUGGGUGGCGAGUGGCGGACGGGUGAGUAAUGCAUCGGGACCUACCUAGACGUGGGGGAUAACGUAGGGAAACUUACGCUAAUACCGCAUACGUCCUACGGGAGAAAGCAGGGGACCUUCGGGCCUUGCGCGGUUAGACGGACCGAUGUUCGAUUAGCUUGUUGGUGAGGUAAUGGCGUCACCAAGGCGACGAUCGAUAGCUGGUCUGAGAGGAUGAUCAGCCACACUGGAACUGAGACACGGUCCAGACUCCUACGGGAGGCAGCAGUGGGGAAUAUUGGACAAUGGGCGCAAGCCUGAUCCAGCAAUGCCGCG
rnacentral:rRNA from 1 species